rfam:Triticum aestivum genome assembly, contig: Triticum_aestivum_CS42_TGACv1_scaffold_063794_1DL
AUUAUACUCCCUGCAUCCCAAAAUUCUUGUCUUAAAUUUGUCUAAAUAUGAAUGUAUCUAGUCAUGUUUUAGUGUUAGAUACAUCCGUAUCUAGACAAAUGUUAGACAAGAAUUUUGGAACGGAGGUAGUAUUAC